UGUUUCCAAGAAAAGAAAAUAUGGCCCCACUGAUGUGGAAAACCACAGGGACAGGGUGGAUUUAGGCGGGAACAUCUCGCCUUGAAAUGGCCCGGGCCCUCUCCUGCCAUCGGAAGCCGGCUCUGUCGUGGGCGGCUCGAGGGACCUGCAGGGAGGCUGUGAUUUCGCUACGAAACCACUGAUCCCGUGAGGACACCCGUCGGACUGCUGCCUUGCGAUCCCGCCUUUAUUCCCCAAUUUGAGAUGAGACUGAGUAAAAGCUCAUCCUACUAGAAAUCUGACCGUGAUCCGGCCUUUCGGGCACGUGAUGGUAGAGUGAACUCACCUGCGUAGGUCAGACGUGGGACGCCGGGCCCUCCUCCUAGGCCACCAGGAAUGUCCCGGAAACUAUGGCUGGUGCCGGAGCUGUCACGUCAGCCGGGCACAGGGAGAAGGCAGCCGUCUGCCAGCCAGGAAGCUGUCCCACCUGCCAGCACCUUGAGCUUGGACUUUCAGCCUCCACGGCGAGAGAGAAGCUCCCCAGGACCUAUAAUGUCCACUACUUAUUCAAAAGAAAUGACAACAAAUGAAUGAUCAGAGCCCCAAAUGAAUAAAACCGACCAGCACAGAACCUCAAGGCUUUCUUCUUUGUCUUAUUUCGUCCGAGACCAAAAAACUUCUGUCCAGUCCGGGCCCCGAGGAGCAGGUAGGCAUUCAGAACCUGCUGGGCCACGGAAGAAAACCCAAACUCUAGCGUAACUCACAAGACCACAGUCUCUGUGGGCAGGGACGGAGAACAGGUCAAGGUAACAAGGCAUCUGGGCAAGAGAAGGAGGAAUUCGUACAAAAAGAAACACCACCCUGGCUCCUUAGAACAGCGUGUUGGAGAAAUCAAAGGAGAAGACAGCCCAGAAGGGAGCCAACAAGGUGUUUGCCCAGUUCAGGGAAGGAAAAGAUAAACAGAUGAAAACUGAUAAGAGGACGUUGGUGGAAAUAAGUGACCGUAUCUUAGUAACUCGCAGAAGGAUGGUGGCCCACAAAAUCAGAUCUGUCAGAAAUUAUUGGUGAAAGAGAAAUCUCAUAAUGUUUGAAAACAGAGAUAAUGUUCUAAAAUCACAGGUGACCUACAAAAACCGGGAGCGGGCAGCGGAGAGUGGGAAAUUAUUUCACAUUAUUCGUCUCAUUUUACAUAAAUGCCAUUUCAUUCCUGACCCUGAUAAUCACAGAGACCUGACUAUCCUUUAUUUAAAGGCUGGCGUUAGGGUAACUAAAACUUCUUCGUGAGAGAGAACAAGCGGGCAAGUGUCCAUCUAUAAAGGGUAUCGAAUAACGGACACGGCAAAGACAACCAAACGACCGCAGACCCGACGAGAGGAAGAAUGCGGAGCGGAUUCGCCGUGGAAAUGGGCGCCGGCGUGCGGGUCCAAGGACAGAGCACGGGAUCCAGCUGUACGCCGUCUACAAGGGACACGCCGAGAGCAACGGGACGGCCCCAGGGUGGAAACCCCCAUGUCCCUGGUCGGAGGAAGAGAGAAAGGGAAUGUGGUCCGGCCACGCGACGGCGUGAACUACUGAGCCACGCCGUAACGUGGAUGGACCUUGAGACCGUGAUGCCGGGUAGAAGAAGCGAGACCCAGAAGGACAAAGGUGGUCUGAUCCCACGGAUCUGGGCUGCCCAGAAUACGUAAACCCAGAGACAGAGAGGAGCCUGGAGAUGACAGAGGUUACCGGAGCCAGAGGAGGGAAGACGAGGAGGUAAAAAGCUUCUGUUCGGGAGGAUGAAGUUCUGGAGAUGGACGGCGGUCACGGUGGGACGCGCCCACGAAUAUACUAACCUACGUGCGUGGUUAGUCUGAGGCAUCCCAGAGGCUGUGUCCCUUUCCUGGGGUUGCCUUACCAAAGCAGCCCAACCCGGGAGCACAGCUGAAAACGACAUGGAUCCUGGGGACCCGGGACUAAAAUCGAGGUGUGAGCCUACCUUUUCCAGCUCCGGAUGCUGCUGCAAACCGUGGCACUCCGUGGCUGGCAGCGUGUGGCCCGCCUCUCGGCUCCACGGUCUCACGACCCUCUCCCGGCGUCUUCAUACAAGGUCGCAGGGACACCAGCCCAGGGCCCACCUUACCAACCUCAUCUUAACUCAGUGAUGUCGACAAGGACUUGAACUUGUCUUUGGGGGGACGCAGUCGAGUCCGUAUCAGGUGCUUUCUGCAGAGUGGUUGGUCAAGUUCCCUCUUGGCUUAGAAAAGGGGAUAGGAGUCCACAUCUGUUUGGAGAACAGCCUUUGCUCGCCUCCCAGGCGAGACGCCCGUGGGCUGCUGCUUUUCCCUGUGGUGCUCUGUCAGGCAUCAAGUGCCCAAAGGCAUAGAUCCCCGAAGCACACUUUGAGAACCGCUCAAAUCACUGCUAGGUAAUGAGCUUGGCCUCAGACCCGGUCUUCCAAAGCUCACUGCGCCGCCGUCACUAAGGUACCUCCAGCCAGAGUAUCCCCGGGGUCUCCAUCAAGCGCAGACUCCCGGCUCCAACCCCAGAGACUCUAACCCAGCUGGCCUUAGGGUGGGAGUUGGGGGCAAAGGUGAUUCCUGACAUUCAGGGCAAGUUUGAAAAUUUCCCCGGAUCAUAGCCAGUUGCAUGCUGGGCCCCGCCACCUGGAAGUCAUCCAGUCCUUCUGCUUGGUAUUUCCAAGCCAAGCUCAUAAUCUCGUGCCUUCAAACCUUGCACAUUUUUCUCUGUCUCUGGCCCCCGCAUUCACCCAGUUCUCAGGCCCCGUACUUUGGAGACUGGUCAGCCCUACCUGGUCAGUUGCCGGCACACACCCAGACUCUCCUGAGCAUGUCUCUGGUCUGAUUCUCCUUGGUAUUCCUGUUUCUGUCACCUUGGCUCAGGCAUUUAUCAGUUUUUGCUGGGACCCGUGCAGUAGCCUACAAACUGACUUUCUUUCCUUCAGUCUUGCCGUUUCUAGUCUGUUCGCUAUAUUAUUGCUCUUAACCUCCUGCCCCAUUUCUCCAGCUUUAUCAGUUACAGUGUCCCUUUGUGAGUCCGUUAUGCUCAGAAGAGUCCCACGUGAGUCAUGUUUUUUAUGCUCCUCACUUUUUUGAAGGUAUGGCAUUUAUUCGGUUCAGCGCCACAUCUUGUUUAUUAUCUUAAUAAAGAGCUACAUUAAAUUAAUACAUUAAAUUAAUACAAAAGGACGAAUGUUGUAAAAUUCCACCUACACGGUGCACCCAGAAUGGCCAAAUUCUCCUCUCCUUUUCUCCCUUAUAAGGAUGCUCGUUGUUUUAUUUCAGGUCCCACCAGAUAAUCUGGGAUUACCUCUUUGUCCUCAAGAGCUUAAUCACGUCUCUGCACAGACCCUUUCCCCAAAUGCAGUCAUAUUCACAGGUUCCUGGGGCUUGACGAGGGUGUCUUUCGGGGCCCCACUGUCUGCUGAAGG